rnacentral:tRNA from 1 species
AGUUAGGUGGCUUAGUUGGUUAAAGCGUCGGUCUAGCAAAUACGGAGCCGUGGGUUCAAAUCUCACCAGAACGU